rnacentral:rRNA from 1 species
CAAGUCGAGCGCCCGCAAGGGAGCGGCAGACGGGUGAGUAACGCGUGGGAAUCUACCGUGCCCUACGGAAUAGCUCCGGGAAACUGGAAUUAAUACCGUAUACGCCCUUCGGGGGAAAGAUUUAUCGGGGUAUGAUGAGCCCGCGUUGGAUUAGCUAGUUGGUGGGGUAAAGGCCUACCAAGGCGACGAUCCAUAGCUGGUCUGAGAGGAUGGUCAGCCACAUUGGGACUGAGACACGGCCCAA